UCUGCCUACGGGACGCAGCAGUGAGGAAUAUUGGUCAAUGGCCGAGAGGCUGAACCAGCCAAGUCGCGUGAGGGAAGAAUGUCCUAUGGAUUGUAAACCUCUUUUGUCAGGGAGCAAAGUCACCCACGUGUGGGUGUUGGAGAGUACCUGAAGAAAAAGCAUCGGCUAACUCCGUGCCAGCAGCCGCGGUAAUACGUAGGUGGCAAGCGUUGUCCGGAUUUAUUGGGCGUAAAGCGAGUGCAGGCGGUUCAAUAAGUCUGAUGUGAAA
rnacentral:rRNA from 1 species